AAAGAGUAACGGAGGCGCGCGAUGGUGGGCUCAGACCGGUCGGAAAUCGGUUGUUGAGUGCAAUGGCAUAAGCCUGCCUGACUGCGAGACUGACAAGUCGAGCAGAGACGAAAGUCGGCCAUAGUGAUCCGGUGGUCCCUCGUGGAAGGGCCAUCGCUCAACGGAUAAAAGGUACGCCGGGGAUAACAGGCUGAUGGUGCCCAAGAGUCCAUAUCGACGGCAUUGUUUGGCACCUCGAUGUCGGCUCAUCGCAUCCUGGGGCUGGAGAAGGUCCCAAGGGUUUGGCUGUUCGCCAAUUAAAGCGGUACGUGAGCUGGGUUUAGAACGUCGUGAGACAGUUCGGUCCCUAUCUGCCGUGGGUGUCGGAAAAUUGAGAGGAGCUGCCCCUAGUACGAGAGGACCGGGGUGGACGUAUCUCUGGUGGACCUGUUGUUGCGCCAGCAGCAUAGCAGGGUAGCUAUAUACGGAAGGGAUAACCGCUGAAUGCAUCUAAGCGGGAAGCCCCCCUCAAAACCAGUUUUCCCUUGAGAGUCGUGGAAGACCACCACGUUGAUAGGCCAGAUGUGGAAGCGUGGCGACACGUGAAGCUGACUGGUACUAAUUACUCGAUUGUCUUGAUC
rnacentral:rRNA from 11 species